GAACAUACCCGUACCGCAAACCGACACAGGUAGUCGAGUGGAGAACACUAAGGUGAGCGAGAGAACUCUCGUUAAGGAACUCGGCAAAAUGACCCCGUAACUUCGGAAGAAGGGGUGCUGGCCAUGAGAAUGGUUAGCCGCAGUGAAUAGGCCCAAACAACUGUUUAUCAAAAACACAGGUCUCUGCAAAAUCGUAAGAUGACGUAUAGAGGCUGACACCUGCCCGGUGCUGGAAGGUUAAGAGGAGAGCUUAGCGCAAGCGAAGGUUUGAAUUGAAGCCCCAGUAAACGGCGGCCGUAACUAUAACGGUCCUAAGGUAGCGAAAUUCCUUGUCGGGUCAGUUCCGACCUGCACGAAAGGUGUAAUGAUUUGGGCACUGUCUCAACGAGAGACUCGGUGAAAUUAUAAUACCCGUGAAGAUGCGGGUUACCCGCGACAGGACGGAAAGACCCCAUGGAGCUUUACUGUAGCUUGAUAUUGAGUAUCUUUUAAACAUGUACAGGAUAGGUAGGAGCCAAGGAAAGCAGGACGCUAGUUUUGCUGGAGGCAAUGUUGGGAUACUACCCUUGUUUGAAGGAUGCUCUAACCUCGACCUGUAAGCCAGGCCAGGGACAGUGUCAGGUGGGCAGUUUGACUGGGGCGGUCGCCUCCUAAAGUGUAACGGAGGCGCUCAAAGGUUCCCUCAGAAUGGUUGGAAAUCAUUCGCAGAGUGUAAAGGUAUAAGGGAGCUUGACUGCGAGAGAAACAGCUCGAGCAGGUAGGAAACUAGGACUUAGUGAUCUGGUGGUACCGCAUGGAAGGGCCAUCACUCAACGGAUAAAAGCUACCCUGGGGAUAACAGGCUUAUCUCCCCCAAGAGUUCACAUCG
rnacentral:rRNA from 1 species